UUCAACGCCAUCGAUCUCCCUCCUCCGGCCACCAUUUUCGUCGACCCAGGCACCCGGGACCAGGCAAGCCUGCAGGAGAGACCUUCAGGAGGUCUAGCUAGCUCGGACCAGGAGCUGUAGCGUGCACAGGAAAUCCACCACCGGGUCAUCUUGCCUUCCGCGCCUCCUUGUUACAGAAGUGUUGGUUUGUAAAAAGUUUCACUUCUCUGUAAACUAUUAGGAUUGCUCUGAUAUAUUGCCCUAGAGUGAGAUUGGAACUUUUGGCAUGUAUAUUGAAGUGCUGGCAGUUGGUUG